AUUGAACGCUGGCGGAAUGCUUUACACAUGCAAGUCGAACGGUAGAGGGGGCAACCCCUCGAGAGUGGCGAACGGGUGAGUAAUAUAUCGGAACGUGCCCAGUCGUGGGGGAUAACGUAGUGAAAAUUACGCUAAUACCGCAUACGAUCUAAGGAUGAAAGCGGGGGAUCGCAAGACCUCGCGCGAUUGGAGCGGCCGAUAUCAGAUUAGGUAGUUGGGAGGGUAAAGGCCUACCAGGCCAACGAUCUGUAGCUGGUCUGAGAGGACGACCAGCCACACUGGAAUUGAGACACGGUCCAGACUCCUACGGGAGGCAGCAGUGGGGAAUUUUGGACAAUGGGCGAAAGCCUGAUCCAGCCAUUCCGCGUGCAGGAUGAAGGCCCUCGGGUUGUAAACUGCUUUUGUACAGAACGAAAAGGCCUCUAUUAAUACUAGGGGCUCAUGACGGUACUGUAAGAAUAAGCACCGGCUAACUACGUGCCAGCAGCCGCAGUAA
rnacentral:rRNA from 1 species